rnacentral:lncRNA from 1 species
UCUAUUUACUUAAAAGGUUAAUUUUAUACAAAAAUAUAAUCGAAUAGUAAAUUUAUCCCUACAAGAUUUAACUUUUUCAUAUUUAUCCUUGCAAAAGCUAAAUGACAUUCAUAUUUGCCCUCUGAUUUAUUAUCGUUAGAGCACUGUUUAUUUUUUAAAUAGAAAAUAAGUGAAAUAAUAUUUUUGACAUCACAAAUAUACCCCUCGAAAAGCCCAAACUGUUAAAAUUAUAUAAAAAUAUCCUCCAAAAAAUCUCUAAUGGUCAUCUUCUUUCUUUUACCAUCACAAAUAAUAUAAAAGGAAUAAAAAGGUCAAUUUACCUCAUUCACUAAUCAAGAUUAAGUAUUUUACCUAUGGUUAACUAUAUAUUUCUAACGGAUCUUAACAGUAGGAGUAUAUUUGAAAAUAUUAAAACUUUUGUAAGAAUAAAUAUAAAAUGUUGAAUUUUGUAGAAAUAUAUCUGCUAUUCGAUAUGCUUAUAGAGAGUUGCAUGCAAUUAACCCUUACUUAGAUAAAAGUUAAAAAAUAUAUAUUUAUUUGACAGUAGUUUAAUUUUGUGCCAAAAAGGUAUAUAAAAUGUGUUUUGCAAAAAUUAAUGUGUUUUCUCAAAAAACUAAAAUAGAAAUCACACGGGUUGUAGCAUUACACUUCAAACCACAAAGUGGUGGUGUUUUUUCAAUCUACAAUCAAUAAAAUAUAGAGUAAACUUCAAAUACCCCCAUUGUGGUUUCGCACUUUCUCACUUUAAUAUCUUGUGUUUUAAAGUGUAUCAAGUUAGCCCCUGUGGUUUCGCACUUUCUCACUUUAGUAUCAUGUGGUUUAAAGUGUAUAAAGUUAGUACCCUAUGGUUUCUUUUUUUUCUUUUUAUUAUCUAUUUUACUAAUUUUUUUCGUUAAUUAAAAAUUAGUGACAAAGUUAAAAUUAAAGGGUACUAAAGUGAAUAUUCGAUAAACUAGGUAGAGUAUCUGAAGUUUUUUAUAUUUAAUUUAAUGAAAUAUUAACGGAGGAAAAAAAAUCAGUGACAAAGUUAAAACUANAAAUAAUAUAAAAGGAAUAAAAAUGUCAAUUUACCUCAUUCACUAAUCAGGAUUAAGUAUUUUACCUAUGGUUAACUAUAUAUUUCUAACGGAUCCUAACAGUAGGAGUAUAUUUGAAAAUAUUAGAACUUUUGUAAGAAUAAAUAUAAAAAGUUGAAUUUUAUAGAAAUAUAUUUGCUAUUUGAUAUGCUUAUAGAGAGUU